UUGGACUUGUCAUUCCUUUAAAACGACUGUUAAAAUUUUCAAGACUUUGAAAAUACUCCCUCCGUCCCAAUUUGUUUGUCCACUAUUAGACUUUAAAGAGUCCCAGAAUGUUUGUCUAGUUGACUUUUUAGAUAAUCAAAAUUCUUUUUUACACUGUCUUCAUUGAAAUAAAAUACUUUUUCAAUAGGUGUAAUAAAUAUGUUCCCUAAAUGAGUUGGAUUUUCGGGGUUGAACAAACAAAUCGGGAUGGAGAAUCGGUCCCUAAGGAACCGCCGAAUGGCCCGCCGUCCGAUGGCCCAGUAUCGUUUUAUCUGUUAGUGUAGCCAUGUCCAAAUGCAACACGAUAAUUUCAUUUGAGAAGUAAUGCCUAUUAUAAAUCGGGUUUGUGCUUAUUGUUAUUUGGCCUAUAUGAUUGGUUUGUGCCGUUUGACUAGACAUGGGAUUGGAUUGCAAAUCUAAUUGGAGUUAGUGGACUGCAUUUCCAGUGUUUAUGCGCUUUAGUUUGUGUAGAGAUUACAUAUCUGUUGGCAAUUAAUCACAUUAAACAUGGGAUACAAAUGCCUUGUGAUGUUGUAUUGGUAAUUUCCUCCUCACUAUUAGUCGCGAUUGCCAUUAUGUUAUCUGACCAAUCGAACGGGCCUUUGCUGGGGUUGUUGGGUAUGAUUGAUGAAUGCUGGUCAACUUUUCCAUGCAAAGCUCGAGUUUGUGAGAGUGCUCAGGGAAUAUGUGGAAGUUGGUCUUCCCACCAAGUUCAUACUUAUUUUGGAGGCAAUUGAUGCUGGUAUGAAGAAGAAGUGUAGAGCAGAAAUUCUACAAGAUGCUAGCAACAACUACGACAUGGUUUUGCAAUCAUUUGAGGUUGUUUCUGGUAGCCCUGAAACUUAUUGACAAGCCAGGGUGGUCAGAGCUCUAAUGUCAACUAGCCUAGCAGAGGAAAAAAGGGAUAUAACAUAAGUGACAUCUUUCUCUACUUCAUGAAGUGUCUGAACUCUUUUCAGUAAUAGUAUCUAUUAUGCAAGAGGUCUGCUAAACUUAAUUGUCAACUGGCCUUGGAUACAUGUCUGCUAAACUUACUCUAAAAUAUUGCUCAUGGGUAAUGGUUGAAUUAUGUGUUGGGAUAAGUAUAUAUUUCCUAAACUAUUAUUUGUGUAUGUUCUGUACUGAACUAUCGAUUUCAUCUAUUUCUUCUUUGACUUG